ensembl:snRNA U5 U5 spliceosomal RNA
AUACUCUGGUUUCUUUUCAAAACGUAUAAAUCUUUCGCCUUUUACUAAAGAUUUCCGUGGAAAGAAACUUUGCUGAGUUUUUACUCAAUUUUUUGAGCCUUGCUUUGGCAGGCU